ensembl:lncRNA
AGUGGCUGUCCACUCAUAGUCAUCCCAUGGCUCACACUCUCAGUGUCAAGUGCUCAAGAGGCCUCUGGAAAUGUUAUCAACAAAAAGCCUCAGAGGAAGACGCCUGGGAAGAGGACAGCCAUAGCCUUCAGCCAUGUCCAACUCACCACUUAAAAAGGCCCCUCAAAUGGUUUUAAGUGGGUUUUCAAGCUUGAGGAUGGCGAGCAAUCCUAGGAUAAGGAAGAUCCAUCCAGAAGCACUGGGGAAAACAAACGGCACCGACAAUGAAAACCAGGAAAAAAGAACACACACACGCCCUUCAUAAUGGAUGAUCCCAGCACUUCUUGGGGACCACAGUCCUGGAAGCACAGCAGCAGGCUCAUGGGCUGCAUUCCCUCGGGUCGCGCUGGGUUUAAUGCUCUCCUGUCAUGAUUUUGGAAUUUUUAGUAACUUAAGAUCAAGGAAUCUGAUAUUUUACUUUUGCAUUGGGCCCCUCAAAUCUUGUGGCCGGUCCUGCCU